GAUGAACGCUGGCGGCGUGCCUAAUACAUGCAAGUCGAGCGAACAGACGAGGAGCUUGCCCCUCUGACGUUAGCGGCGGACGGGUGAGUAACACGUGGAUAACCUACCUAUAAGACUGGGAUAACUUCGGGAAACCGGAGCUAAUACCGGAUAAUAUAUUGAACCGCAUGGUUCAAUAGUGAAAGACGGUUUAGCUGUCACUUAUAGAUGGAUCCGCGCCGCAUUAGCUAGUUGGUAAGGUAACGGCUUACCAAGGCGACGAUGCGUAGCCGACCUGAGAGGGUGAUCGGCCACACUGGAACUGAGACACGGUCCAGACUCCUACGGGAGGCAGCAGUAGGGAAUCUUCCGCAAAGGGCGAAAGCCUGACGGAGCAACGCCGCGUGAGUGAUGAAGGUCUUCGGAUCGUAAAACUCUGUUAUUAGGGAAGAACAAAUGUGUAAGUAACUAUGCACGUCUUGACGGUACCUAAUCAGAAAGCCACGGCUAACUACGUG
rnacentral:rRNA from 1 species